UCCAGGUGCUCUUAGAACUCUGUCGCCGAGGUACUUGUCGGUGACGGAUAAGGGUUAAGGUGUUCACUGUCAAUUAAAUUGCAGCCAGCAGAAUGAAAGAAUCGCCAACGCUGGUAUUAAUGACGGUGGUGGUAAUAUGGGCGGCGAUCGCGGGCGUAGAAGGCGCGAGCGGCCACGGCAAGAUCUCUGGCGUGAAGGAGAUAUCGACGAAAGGCAGAAUUUUCUACACUUACCGUGGGAUACCCUACGCGAAGCCGCCCGUGGGAGAGUUAAGGUUUAGGGACCCAGUUCGGGCCGAUAGAUGGGAGGGGGUAAUGGAUGGG